rnacentral:rRNA from 1 species
CCAGCAGCUGCGGUAGUUCCAGCUCUAAUAGCGCAUAUUAAAGUUGUUGCAGUUAAAAAGCUCGUAGUCGGAUGUCGGGCUCGGGGAGGCUGUCGGCCUUUGGUCGGAUGGCAUGUCCGGGCCUUUCUACCUGGGGAUCCUACUCUACUUAACUGUAGGGUAGUGGGACGCAGGCCGUUUACUUUGAAAAAAUUAGAGUGUUAAAAGCAGGCCUACGCUUGAAUACAUUAGCAUGGAAUAAUGGAAUAGGACUUUGGUGCUAUUUUGUUGGUUAAUGGGACCGAAUUAAUGAUUAAAAGGGACAGUUGGGGCCGUUUAUAUUUCGUUGUCAGAGGUGAAAUUCUUGGAUUUACGAAAGAUAAACUUCUGCGAAAGCAUUCGGCAAGGAUGUUUUUAUUGAUCAAGAACGAAAGU